UCAGAUCGCGCCCAGCGGCUUGGAAAUCUCAUUGCCAUUGCGAUGAGAUUCAAAUCAUUUUUCAAUUAAUUAAAUGAAAAAUUGAAAAACUAAACACUGAAAAUUGUCAUUAGGAAGGAUGUUGGCGAGCAAUUUCAGAGCCUGCGCUCGAUUCUGUAAUUAUUUUUAUUAGCAGCUUCCUCUACUCGAUUCAAAUUACUGUAGGAAUGGAACUGAUGGCCUGCUGAAGGCACGGGGCAGACCGCGGGGUUCUGGAUGGCACCGCAGACAUGCGCACGCUCCCAAAAAUAAAAUCAUUAAAAAGCAAAAAUAACUGAGAAAAUAGGAAAGUAGAGAGAUGCAUGAAAAUUCUACCCUUAAAAAAACAAAACUUCAGAAAGCGUUACAGUCUCAUUUACCCAACAGUCAGUUCUCAUCAGUCUGCCCCAGCUCCAGUUUCCAAGAGCAGAGGUGGAGCUUUUCAGUGCCCAUCACAAUUCCAUCUGUGUUGCAGUCUUCUUCCUCAUCCUUUAAAUUGUUCAGACAUUUGACUAGAGCUGCAGGCAGGGCGUGGGAGCAUAACCUGUGCACCUUAGGGCUUGUGGUGUGAGUGCUUCAAAAAUAAUAGUACCAGAAGAGUUCUAAUCAAAGGUUUAUAUUUGAGACCCAAAGGGGCAUGCAAUCCUAUGGGUAGAUGGGUAGUGGUGAUUAGGAAAUUGAGCUGAGAGGUAACCCUGAAGCACUCAGAGUCAAUAAAGCACUGUCAGUGCACCCUGGCAACAUGCACCAGAGGCACUACUAAUGAUCUGAAAUGAUCUUUCAAUUCAUUCAGGUGAGUUAUGGCUGAUGUCUUCACUCUGCACAGCAUCCUCUGGCUUCACAGCCUGUUACACACUGCAGGUGCCAGGAGAGCGCUGUGACAAUCAGCAGGAGACUACAGAUCCACCUGUAUCGACUGUCACUAAUAGGUUUCAGUUUGAGAUGCUCAUUUGUGAGCCUCCUAUUUCCUUCUUGGGACUAUAUCCACAUCAAUAUCAGUAUCCACAGCAAACUCUUGAUAGUCAUUGGGAGAACAGCCUUAAAGCAGUAGUGGAAAAGGGGUUUGAUUCUUGUCUCUUUUCGUUCCAUAGCAGAACACAUAUGCCAGUGCGACUUCACAUGCAAGCAGAUGUCCUGAUACAUCAAUGGGAAAACUCAAGCCAGGUUUCUCCUCUCUCAACACAUCAGUUUGUGUGUUGUUUCAGUGAAGUCUGCAAGACCAUUCCUCAAAGCUGAAGAUGAGUUUAACAGAAUUAUUUGAGAGUAAAUGAGAUUCCAAGCUCAGCAAGAAUUUGUCAUGACAAACACAGGUCAAUGAACAGUGUUUGUCUCCAAUAUUCAAAUAUCUUUCAGACGAUUGUUUCUACUUGGAAUAAUCAAAGUGUUUUAAAAGCCAGAACCCAGAGAACAUCCUUUAGCUAUAUUAAUUGCAAGGUAAAAAUGCUACUAAGAUUCAAGACUUUAAAUGAAUUAUGUAUUAUUAUUAUUUUUUUUUUUCACCUAUGGUGCAAUCAAAAAUAGCCUCACCAGUAACCUUCUCUUUGUGUCAGUAAAAACAUCCAUCUCUAGUACUGUUUCAAAUAACACUGGGUAGUAUUAAACCAAGGGCUUAAUAAAACUAUUUGUAAUGGUUUUCUACAUUAAGCAGCACUAUCUUCUUAGCAAAUGACUGGGCUAUUAGACAGAGGUCAAAAGAGUUCUUCAAAUAUGCCCUGACUGAAUGCUGUCUACAUGAUACUUAUUCUGUUUAAGGAUAAAGUCAUACUCAAGCCUUUGCUAAAAAUAACAAGCAAGUAAAUCACAAAUAUGUUCAGCUUUUGCCCUGGUUCUUCCAGGAAAGCAAAAAACGAAUACCACUGUUCUGAAUUUCACAAAUAACUCAAAUUAGGAACUAUUAAUACCAAAAUACAGUUUAGAUGAAAAGGAACAAGUUGAAACAAUUAUAAAUAGGACAUAAGAUACUAAAUUACUAUUUUUCAUGCGAUACUUAUCUUUGCCUUCUGUUUUUUUCUUUUACAAAAUGAAAAUCCUGUUUUCCCUAAAAUGCAGCUAGUUCAUUUGUGAACUUAGAACACAUUAAUUUUAGCAUAAAGAGACCAAAUGACCAGCAUGAUCUUGCAUGUAAUUAAACUUGAACAAAUCUCAUGUUUUGAUGUAGGUUCAUUUCACUGAAAUAAAUGCUUUAUUUAUUUAUUUAUUUUUCUUUUAAAAUCAGUGUGGAAGCCAACUUAACAUUUUAUUUCCCUCAAUUUUUAAUGACUAACUUCAUUUUAGAAAUUUUCAAAUACUAUAAAGUGAAUAUAACAACUUUCUGCAAGU